CAAUAGCGUAUAUUAAAGUUGUUGCGGUUAAAAAGCUCGUAGUUGGAUUUCUGCUGAGGAUGACCGGUCCGCCCUGUGGGUGUGCAUCUGGCUCAGCCUUGGCAUCUUCCUGAAGAACGUAGCUGCACUUGACUGUGUGGUGCGGUAUUUAGGACAUUUACUUUGAGGAAAUUAGAGUGUUUCAAGCAAGCGCACGCUUUGAAUACAUUAGCAUGGAAUAAUAAGAUAGGACCUUGGUUCUAUUUUGUUGGUUUCUAGAGCUGAGGUAAUGAUUGAUAGGGAUAGUUGGGGGCAUUCGUAUUUAACUGUCAGAGGUAAAAUUCUUGGAUUUGUUAAAGACGGACUACUGCGAAAGCAUUUGCCAAGGAUGUUUUCAUUGA
rnacentral:rRNA from 1 species